ensembl:misc_RNA Metazoa_SRP Metazoan signal recognition particle RNA
GCCAGAUGGCAGGGACGCACCUAUAGUCCCAGCUACUUGGGAGGCUGACGCGGGGGAGCGCGGGCGCCGGGGAGUUCUGGCUGUAGUUCUCGGCUAUGCCAGUCGGAUGUCCACACUAAGUUUGGCAUCAAUAUGGUGAUUCUGGGAGCAGAGAAACACUAGGUUGCAUAAGGAGUGUGGAGCCAGCCCAGGGUGGAAGUGGAGCAGGUCGAAACUCCCAUACUGAUCAAUAGAGGGAUCGUGCCUGCGAAUAGCCACCGUACUCCAGCCUGGGCAACACAGCAAGACCCAGUCUCU